rnacentral:rRNA from 1 species
AGAUUGAACGCUGGCGGCAUGCCUUACACAUGCAAGUCGAACGGCAGCACGGGGGCAACCCUGGUGGCGAGUGGCGAACGGGUGAGUAAUGCAUCGGAACGUGCCCAGUAGUGGGGGAUAACUAGUCGAAAGAUUAGCUAAUACCGCAUACGACCUAUGGGUGAAAGCGGGGGAUUCGCAAGAACCUCGCGCUAUCGGAGCGGCCGAUGUCUGAUUAGCUAGUUGGCGGGGUAAAGCCCACCAAGGCGACGAUCAGUAGCUGGUCUGAGAGGACGACCAGCCACACUGGGACUGAGACACGGCCCAGACU